UCUUGGAAAUGCCUCUGCAAUUGCACUCUGCAAAACUUUACACCUGUCCGUAAUAAUUGUUUGUGGAGCACACCCUGAUAGACAUGUAAGCCAUGUUUUGAACAACCAAAUAUAAGACUCCGUUGUCUCGCCCGCACAACCCAGUAAAACAGACUGGCCAUGGUGAUUUAUUCCAACAAGUGCCACAAGUGGGAUCUCAUAUUUGCUUGACAAAUAUGUGUUGUCAAUAUAAAUGACAUCACUGAAGUAGCCACAUGCAGCCCUUGAUCUAGCAUC
rnacentral:misc_RNA from 1 species